GACAAGCAGUGUGACCGUGGAUUUACCGACAAAAGAUACCGUCUGACCCUAAGAAAUAUACCUUUAAUAUACCAAAAAAAAUACCAGUAUACCAUAAUUCAAGAGUCCCCUAUAUUGAAGCAAGUGAACGUGAACUUGCCUGAAACCGCGUAAAAUAAUAAAGUUUGCUAAUGUUUUUAUUUUUAUUUAUUAAUUCUUUUCGCAUUUAAUCGAGAUCUUAUAUUUGUUAAAAUUUAGAAUAUUGUGUAUUGCUUAAAAGAAGUUUAUAUUUUAUUAUCUUGUUUGUUUCUUGAAUUUAUUAAAAAUGAGUCACUAUCGAUGUUUUUGUCUACAAACAAUCGAAAGAGCAGCAGCUGGGAAUCGAUCGCCUUUGAAUUCAAUAACAAGUUAAAGAAUAAUAACCAAACUCAACGUACAAGCUGGUUCGAGUACAACACACUCAAGGUCUCUAUUGGUAUUGAUAAACACUCCCAACAAUUUGCGAUAACUGAACGCAAACCAAAGAUUCUAUAUAUGUUACAUAUAAGUGUUAUAGAAUUUUUGCCCAAACCAAGAUGGUUCAGUUCAACGUCAUCGAUAUAACCAAGACUUCUUAGAACAUAAGAUAACGUAAGAAGCAAAAUGAAUCAACACGCUAGCGGUAGUAA